rnacentral:tRNA from 1 species
GGCAGUGUGGUCUAAUGGGAAGAGCACAGGCCUGAAAGGCAGAGGAACUGGGUUCAAAUCCCAGCUCUGUCA